AUUGAACGCUGGCGGCAGGCCUAACACAUGCAAGUCGAGCGAGCGGCGGACGGGUGAGUAAUGUAUGGGGAACUGCCUGAUAGAGGGGGAUAACUACUGGAAACGGUGGCUAAUACCGCAUACUAUCGGAUGUACCCAGAUGGGAUUAGCUAGUAGGUGGGGUAAAGGCUCACCAAGGCGACGAUCCCUAGCUGGUCUGAGAGGAUGAUCAGCCACACUGGGACUGAGACACGGUCCAGACUCCUACGGGAGGCAGCAGUGGGGAAUAUUGCACAAUGGGCGCAAGCCUGAUGCAGCCAUGCCGCGUGUAUGAAGAAGGCCUUAGGGUUGUAAAGUACUUUCAGCGGGGAGGCGUUACCCGCAGAAGAAGCACCGGCUAACUCCGUGCCAGCAGCCGCGGUAAUUC
rnacentral:rRNA from 1 species